AUAUAUUAAAUCUCACCUCUUCUUUUCCACGUUGCUCUUUCCUCUUCUAUACUCUUUUGUUCUUCUUCUUUUCUUCAUUUUCUUCUUUCUUUUCCCUCAAACCGAACGGAGAGCGAGGGGGAGAGACAGAGAGUGGGUUGGAGAGAGAGUGAGUGAAACAGAGAAUGAGAGAGACCGAGAGUGAGAUCGGGGGAGAGAUGGGAACAGAGGGAGAGAGACGAGAGAGAUGCAGUCGGAGAGGGAGAGAGGGAGAGAGGCAGAGGUUCGAUCCUCCAUGGCUCGCCGUUGGGUCUCCGGUGAGUGGUCUGGAGGUGCGAUUUCCGGCUGUUCAGGGUAGAAAUCCGGUGGGAUGGCUGUGGGUCGACCGUAGGAUGAUUUCCGGUAGUUGUGGCGAUUUUCGGUGGUUUCCAGUGAGACUUUCUAUGGGUUGUUCUCAGAUAAAUUCCUAAGGAAUUCUCAAGUCCAUUAUGCAGGUACAAAGAUUGUUAAAUUAAAGGAUUGGAUUAUGUUAACAUUGAAGAGUUAAAGCUUUUAUUAAUGUAGCUGAUGAUUUCCUUGUAAUGUUUGUAUUCUUUUGGAAAGUAGUAUACUUAGAGGAAUACUUGUAUUUGAUUUUUCAUAUAUGUUUUUAGUGUCAUCAGUGACACUUAUUUCAAUGUAUAGUUGAAUGAUUUCAGAAUGAAUGUCUAGUAGAAGUAUUUCAGUCAGCUCAACGUGUUAUGAUUCCUAAGUUGUAAAAGAAAAAUUAUAUUCCACUACUAAUUUAUACUCUGACAA